GGGGCUAUAGCUCAGCUGGGAGAGCGCUUGCAUGGCAUGCAAGAGGUCGACGGUUCGAUACCGUCUAGCUCCA
rnacentral:tRNA from 1 species